AGCAGCUUCCUCUGAAAAUUCCUCUACUUCAGUUUCAAGUCUCAGAACCUCACAAAUAAGCCUGCAGCUGCAUUUGUUUCCUCUACAAUCACUAGCAAUACCAUGGCAGCAGCUGUUGAAGUAGUGAAGGCAACUAAAGAAGAAAAUCCUUCCGGCACAGUUCUUCUCCCUAACAUGAAAGAGAUAGAAGAAAGGGUAACACAGUCUUUUUAUAUUAAUUUUAAUAGACUAGUGGCUACUAUUACUAAGCAUUAAAAAUACUAGAUAAAAAAUUAAUACCACUUUAAAAAGUGGCUACCCCACACAAUUUUUAUGAUGGGAGGAAGUGCACGGUUAGUCACUAAUAACACGUGUAUUUACUUUUAAGCCACUGUUUAAAAUGUCUUUGGUCUUUAGCCAUUACUUUAAUAAAAUUUAACUCCCUGGAUGAAAAUACCCUUAUGCUCAUGCCCUUAACUUUUGAACUUAACUUCAUGACUUCAGGACUACAUGUCUUUAACUUUUGAACUUGUAAUUCUAAGUUCAGGACUUCAUGACUACAUGUCCUUAACUUUUGAACUUGGAACUCUAAGUUCAGGACUACAUGUCCUUAACUUUUGAACUUAACUUCAAGACUUUAGGACUACAUGUCAUUAACUUUUGAACUUAACUUUAGGACUACAUGUCCUUAACUUUUUAAUUUGUAAAUAUAAGUUCAGGACCAAUUGUCCUUAACUUUUGAGCUUGUUAGUCUAAGUUAAGGACUUAUUGCCCUCAACUUUUAAGCUUGUUAGUUUAAGUUCAGGACUUCAGGACCUAUUAUCCUUAACUUUUGAACUUAUAACUGUAAGUUCAGGACCUAUUGUCCUUAACUUUUGAGGUUGUUAGUCUGAGUUCAGGACCAAGCACCCUUAACUUUUGAACUUGUAAUUCUAAGUUCAGGACCAAGUGUCCUUAACUUUUGAACUUGUAACUGUAAGUUCAGGAUCCAUAACGUAGCAGAAAACCAAACGUUAUUUGUAUCUUUUCACAAUAAUAAUAAUAAUAAUAAUAAUAAUUGCAAUUUACAUGUAAGAUUGAUGUCAAAUUACACAACAGAAAGCUAAUAGCAUCACUGCAAAACUUUAGAACAAUAUUUGUGAAUACAAAGAUACCUUCUUACUGGUAUUAAGCGCUCUGCAAAUUCUGCUCUUUACUCUUCUACGCUAUCACCAUCAGUAGCUUCCUCUGCAAAUUCCUCUACUUCAGUUUCAAGUCUCAGAAUCCCACAAAUAAGCUUGCAGCUGCUACUGUUUCCUCUACAAUCACUAGCAAUACCAAGACAGCAACUGUUGAAGCAGUGAAGGCAACUAAAGAAGAAAAUCCUUCCGGCACAGUUCUUCUCCUUAACAUGAAAGAGAUAGAAGAAAGGGUAACACAAUCUUUUUAUAUUAAUUUUAAUAGAUUAAUAGUUACUAUCGCUGAGCAUUAAAAAUACAGGAUAAAAAAUAAAUACUACUUAGAAAAGUGGGUAAUGCACACAAUUUUUACUCAUUUACACGGGCAAAACCCAGAUCAACGGAAGUCCAAAUCCAAAACGGGGCCCCAAUAAAACCUUACUUAUAUAUAGGUAGUCGGCUAACAGUUCCCCGGAAAUUCAAUUCAACGCAUUGGAAAAUUGAAACAUCAAGAAUCUGAUACCCAAUUACCCCCUAUUGGUAUAGAUUCAUUUGACAGUAAUAAGAAUUCAGAUUUAAGGAUUUUAAGCUUUAAAACUACAAAUACAGAAAGGGAAUUAAGAAGAAAUGACACAGCCGAGUAAAGAG
rnacentral:lncRNA from 1 species